CUGAAUAAUGAUCCCCAGUCAGUAUAAGCUCUAGAUAUAUUAAAAGUCUAAGGUACGAACCAUUUGAUUUGACGAAACAGUCUGAGAUAUUUGAGAGAAAAAAAAAUAACUUUGACUGUUGCUUAAACAAAAAAUUCUGGCUGUAUCUGGAUUGACAACAAUAAUCAUGUCCACUGUUCUUGAUAUUAGAAACAAAAAUUUCCAACAGAAUUAUUUAGCAUGAAAUGAACAUGAUGAAUAAAAACGGGCAUUUUUUUGGUGGCAGGGGUUUGCAUGUCUGAACGGAAUGUCUGUUUCGCCGAACUGAUAUAUUAAAUACUUUUUCCAAGACCAGACUGCAACCUGUCUGAUGGGUGUGGCCUUUAUGUCUCCAUUUGUCGACCGUCAUUCAUAAAUUCGUUGUCAUUUCAGACUCAUUCUUAGCCUUUGGUUGAUUUGGAACCCCUCACUUCACUUAAUGUUGUUGGGGAGACAUAUCAACAAAACAUUUGGAUAAGAAAUUGCUUGCUUGUCGUUUUUUAACUUGUGCCGGCCGUAUUGUAAUUUUCAUUGAAUACCCCGGCGUAUAUCUUGUUUACAACAAGAAAUCUGUGAAGUUAUGAUAACUUAACUAUUGACAAGUCCCACAUCAAAUUUAUCAGUUCAUAGCUUUGGAUCCAUACUAUCAUUUUAUGAUAGACAAUUAAUAGAGAGAAUACAGCAUCGAAAAUAUCCAACCCAUACACUUUACAGCAACU
rnacentral:lncRNA from 1 species